GAUGAACGCUGGCGGCGUGCCUAAUACAUGCAAGUCGAGCGAACAGACGAGGAGCUUGCUCCUCUGACGUUAGCGGCGGACGGGUGAGUAACACGUGGAUAACCUACCUAUACGACUGGGAUAACAUCGGGAAACCGGGGCUAAUACCGGAUAAUAUAUUGAACCGCAUGGUUCCAUCGUGAAAGACGCUUUUGCUUUCACUUAUAGAUGGAUCCGCGCCGCAUUAGCUAGUUGGUAAGGUAACGGCUUACCAAGGCAACGAUGCGUAGCCGACCUGAGAGGGUGAUCGGCCACACUGGAACUGAGACACGGUCCAGACUCCUACGGGAGGCAGCAGUAGGGAAUCUUCCGCAAUGGGCGAAAGCUUGACGGAGCAACGCCGCGGGAGUGAUGAAGGUCUUCGGAUCGUAAAACUCUGUUAUUAGGGAAGAACAAAUGUGUAAGUAACUAUGCACGUCUUGACGGUACCGAAUCAGAAAGCCCCGGCUAACUACGUG
rnacentral:rRNA from 1 species